GGCAGGGCCGUGGGGCGCGCGCGGGAAGGGACUUGUGGGAAGGAAGGGAGCGGAAAGGCCGAGCGCCACCCGCCCCGGGAGUCUCCAGAGCAGCGCGCGGGGCAGACCUCCUCGGGUCCUCCGGCGCUUCGGUCUCCGGAGACGCCCGGCCUCCUGAAGGGUUCGGCUUGUCCUCCUCUGGCGCUCAGCUCCCUCUGGCGGCCGGGCUGGCAGGACCUCAGCGCCCAGCCCUUCCGUCUUGUUACGUCCAGGGUCUCACUCUGUGUCUCAGGCUGGAGUACAGUGGUGCAAUUGUAGAUGGCUGCAGCCCUCGACCUCCUGGGCUCAAGUGAUCCUCCUGCCUUAGCCUCUCGAGUAGCUGGGAGUACAGAUGCACACCACCACACCCAGCCUAGAAUGAAGAAACCUGCAGUUGGGAAGCAUGAAUUUACCACCUAUUAAGGCACUGGUUUACUGAGACAAUUCAAAACACACAUUCAUUUUGUGUGCUUAUGAAAUAUAUCCCAAGAAAAUGGAAACAACUCUGUCCUUGACCUUCAAAAAGAAAUUGACUUACCUAGCUUAACUAUUCAAACAAACAACUGUGUACUCUCUUCAAUUCCGAUGAUGAUUUUGAUUUACUGUAAAUGACUGAAUUUAAUGAACUAAAUUAUGCUAUUUAAAUGCAUUUUGUGAAUGGUAUUGUAGUUUGUUACAAAGCAUUAUGUCCAUGCUAAAUUGUGCUGUAAAUGAUAUGGUAUGGAACAUAUGUGCUGUAUUCAUAAUUUAACUGUUGCUGUGGAUUGCCUUCUUGGAUAGGACACAUUGAAAAAAGGAGCCUUUAUUUACCUGGUGAAAUGAAGGUGAUAUCUCAGCAAAUCACUAGGUCUUACUGACCUUGGCAGAAUUACAGUGCUAAUAUUUUCACAUGGAUGAACUGUUCUUAAACAAUUUCUCUAAUGUAUAUGGCAGAAAUCGGCUUUCCAUUAAAACUAGGUAUAUAUGGUA
rnacentral:lncRNA from 1 species